rnacentral:lncRNA from 1 species
AUGCUGCUUCUCAACAGCAACACUUCUCUGCUCAGACAGCAUGCUCUCGAUUCAGGACUUCACCUCCCGUCACUUCCCCCUGCAGACAGCAUGCUCUCCAUUCAGGACUUCACCUCCUAUCAUGUCCCCGCUGCAGACAGCAUGCUCUCGGUUCAGGACGUCACCUCCUGUCACUUCCCCCUGCAGACAGCAUGCUCUCGAUUCAGGACUUCACCUCCUGUCACUUCCCCCCUGCAGACAGCAUGCUCUCGAUUCAGGACUUCACCUCCUGUCACUUCCCCCUGCAGACAGCAUGCUCUCGGUUCAGGACGUCACCUCCUGUCACUUCCCCCUGCAGACAGCAUGCUCUCGAUUCAGGACUCCACCUCCUGUCACUUCCCCCUGCAGACAGCAUGCUCUCGAUUCAGGACUUCACCUCCUAUUACCUCCCCACUGCAGACAGCAUGCUCUCGAUUCAGGACUUCACCUCCUGUUACUUUCCCCCUGCAGACAGCAUGCUCUCGAUCAGGACUUCACCUCCUGUCACUUCCCCCUGCAGACAGCAUGCUCUCGAUUCAGGACUCCACCUCCUGUCACUUCCCUCUGCAGACAGCAUGCUCUCGAUUCAGGACUUCACCUCCUAUUACCUCCCCACUGCAGACAGCAUGCUCUCGAUUCAGGACUUCACCUCCCGUUCCUUCCCCCUGCAGACAGCAUGCUCUCGAUUCAGGACUUCACCUCCUAUUACCUCCCCACUGCAGACAGCAUGCUCUCGAUUCAGGACUUCACCUCCUGUUACUUUCCCCCUGCAGACAGCAUGCUCUCGAUCAGGACGUCACCUCCUGUCACUUCCCCCUGCAGACAGCAUGCUCUAGAUUCAGGACUUCACCUCCUAUCAUGUCCCCGCUGCAGACAGCAUGCUCUCGAUUCAGGACUUCACCUCCCGUUCCUUCCCCCUGCAGACAGCAUGCUCUCGAUUCAGGACUUCACCUCCUAUUACCUCCCCACUGCAGACAGCAUGCUCUCGAUUCAGGACUUCACCUCCUAUUUUGGGCUUCGGUGCCCCAUUUCUACGGCAGAUGCCAUUCACGCCGUGGUGGUAUCGUAGCAUGA